GACGAACGCUGGCGGCGUGCUUAACACAUGCAAGUCGAACGGUGAACGAGGGAGCUUGCUCCCUCCGGAUCAGUGGCGAACGGGUGAGUAACACGUGAGCAAUCUGCCCCGAACUCUGGGAUAAGCGUUGGAAACGACGUCUAAUACCGGAUACGACGCGGGAGGGCAUCCUCUCCGCGUGGAAAGAACUUCGGUUCGGGAUGAGCUCGCGGCCUAUCAGCUUGUUGGUGAGGUAACGGCUCACCAAGGCGACGACGGGUAGCCGGCCUGAGAGGGUGACCGGCCACACUGGGACUGAGACACGGCCCAGACUCCUACGGGAGGCAGCAGUGGGGAAUAUUGCACAAUGGGCGCAAGCCUGAUGCCGCAACGCCGCGUGAGGGACGACGGCCUUCGGGUUGUAAACCUCUUUUAGCAGGGAAGAAGCGAAAGUGACGGUACCUGCAGAAAAAGCACCGGCUAACUACGUG
rnacentral:rRNA from 1 species